UUCUUGUUUUUUUUUCUGUUCUGUCUCUUUUUUGGUUUCUUGUUUCUCUAUUUUUUUUUUUUCUUUCGUUUCGUUUUUCUUCUUCUUUUCUUUUUUUUUUGUUUUUUUUUUUGUUUUUUUCUUAGUUUCUUUUUUCUUUUGUUUUGUUGUUGGUAUUUUGUGUCGUUUGUGUUCUGUAUGGUUUGAUAUUUGGUAGCUAACGGUUGGAAGUAAAAGUCGUAACAAGGUUUCCGUAGGUGAACCUGCGGAAGGAUCAUUAC
rnacentral:rRNA from 1 species